rnacentral:rRNA from 1 species
UACGUAGGGGGCUAGCGUUGUCCGGAAUCAUUGGGCGUAAAGCGCGCGUAGGCGGCCCGGUAAGUCCGCUGUAAAAGUCAGGGGCUCAACCCUUGAACGCCGGUGGAUACUGCCGGGCUAGAGUCCGGAAGAGGAGAGUGGAAUUCCUGGUGUAGCGGUGAAAUGCGCAGAUAUCAGGAAGAACACCAAUGGCGAAAGCAGCUCUCUGGGACGGUACUGACGCUGGGGUGCGAAAGCGUGGGGAGCAAACAGG